CACGGGGGGAGCAAGCGUUGUUCGGAAUCACUGGGCUUAAAGGGCGCGUAGGCGGGUACUCAAGUCUGUGGUGAAAUCCUCCGGCUCAACCGGAGAACUGCCAUGGAUACUGGGUGUCUCGAGGGUGGUAGGGGUAUGCGGAACUAUCGGUGGAGCGGUGAAAUGCGUUGAUAUCGAUAGGAACUCCGGUGGCGAAGGCGGCAUACUGGACCACAUCUGACGCUGAGGCGCGAAAGCCAGGGGAGCGAACGGG
rnacentral:rRNA from 1 species